AAGAGUGAGUGAAGUUGUGGAAAUAGGUGCAUUAUUCUUCAAUGACCUGAAAUCUUGUGGACAAAACAUGUUGAGGUUGUGCGGAUAAAGAGCAUGUUUUGACUUAUGACCUAACGAUAUCAUAAAAGUUUAGGGAAUUAGUGAUUCUACUUUUAUGUAAUUAUAGUUGUUCAGAUUUACAUAAAUAUUAGUUCAGGACUCUUACCAUGAAUGACAAGAAGUUUUCCAUUACAAGAUAGUUGUUUUAGGAGUAGUUUGGAUAUUAUUAAAUUUCUGAGAGUUGUAACCAAACGAAAAAGGUGUUUAUGUUUUUUUCAUUUCUUAGUCAUUAUGUUUCUAUUACAUUAAAUGCUAAUUUAUUUUCUUAACCAUUUAUUAUUUAUUAUUGUACAUUGUGUGGAACUAAGACGUUAUAAAUAUUUAAAAAAAUUCUCAUUUUUCCCAAGUUCAAGGCUCAUGAAAAUUGGAUUUAUCACGGGGAAAUCUCGGGGUGUUGCCGCUUAUGCUUACUUGAACUUGGUAUCCCCUGCUCUCCACGUUCCACUCCAUGUACUCAAUUCAGGUUGCCCUUUCUGACCAUGUAUUUGUCGGUGAUUAUGUCUGUUAUUUCAUUGCUUUAUUGUCUAUAUAAACUCUUUGUGGUCUAAUAGCAGAAAAUACAUCCUUUUCAGUUGUUGGCUAUCUAUGAACACAGAGUAGUUGUGCAAGGCUUUAUAUGGGGCAUCAAUUCUUUUGACCAGUGGGGAGAUGAGUUAAGAAAGGUGUUGCACGUCACUGCGCGGUGUCGUGGCGAAUAUUCUUAUAUUUAUAUAAUGGCAGAUGCGGGGAGACAAAACAUUCUCGUCUCGUAUCAGUAGAACAUUGGAAUGGGAGUCACCACCUAGUAUUCUGGUCACUAGGAACCCUAACUGGUCUCAGAGAUCGGGCACAUAGACUAGUUGCGUAAAGGGAAGGUAUUAGCACCCCAACUACGCCCUACCUAAGGAAAUUAAGUUCGGAUGUUCCAGCCAAUCAUCCAACUAUUCUUCCUCGGAUAGAACUUCGUUCCUUGACAAUGGAAUAUUUAGAAGCAACAGAUUUAAUGGUUAGAAGAUUGAAACUUAAGAGCAUUAAACAUAAGUACUCCACUUCUCAUUUUUUCUCUUUAAUUAAACUUUUUUUUCUA